rnacentral:rRNA from 1 species
UACGUAGGGCGCAAGCGUUGUCCGGAAUUAUUGGGCGUAAAGAGCUCGUAGGCGGUUUGUCGCGUCUGUCGUGAAAGCUUGGGGCUUAACCCCAAGUCUGCGGUGGAUACGGGCAGACUAGAGGCAGGUAGGGGAGAACGGAAUUCCCGGUGUAGCGGUGGAAUGCGCAGAUAUCAGGAGGAACACCGGUGGCGAAGGCGGUUCUCUGGGCAUUACCUGACGCUGAGGAGCGAAAGCAUGGGGAGCGAACAGG